CAGGCCCACGGUGGCUCAUUAGCAUGGUGCUCAUUAGUAUGCGCCUUAUUUGCAUACCCAGGGUGCACCACGGGCUGGCGGCGCACUACCGGUAAAGCUGUCCGCCGCCGCUGCAGCUCCCGCGGGGCCGCUCGGGUCCGGGCGCGGGGCCGUACCGGUGUGCGCCGCCUGGGGCCCAGCCGGCGCGGCGGGGGAUCGAGCUGGGGGCGGCGGGGGUCGCCGUGAUCUGUGGAGCGACAUCCGGGGGUGGGUACAUGUGCGGGGGGGCCCUACCAGCCAUACUCUGGUUUCUCUUCAAAUCGUAUAAAUCUUUCGCCUUUUACUAAAGAUUUCCGUGGAGGGGAACAAGCACGAGUGUCAGGGAAUUUUUUGAGGCUCCACCUCGGUGGAGCUGUCUCUGCGCUAGUGAAAGACAGAACGAAUAAACCGGGAAGUAUUGUAACCGGGAGUGGCGGUCGGUGGGCGUAGGUGACACCUAUGCCAGGGCCGGCAGCUUCCCGCAGCGCUGAGCCGCUGCUCGGGCCCUUCCGCGCCGCAGCCGCCCCGUUCCCGUUGCCUGCUCAAAUGAUGAGCGGGUGACUAGGUGGGAGCUCGGGUGGGCCCUUCUCCAGCCCCGGGCGGUGCGGCGGGGCCGCUGCCUGCCGGCGGCUCGGGCCCCGGAACGACCAGUUAGCUGGGGACCUGUUCUGGUGCGACGGGCCGGCUCCGCAGCGCUGUCCGGCCGCUCCGGCGCUGUUGGCCCCGCGGGGCUCUCGGGCAGGCCCAGUCGGUACCGCUCGGGGCCCAGCCGCGCCCCGCCCUCGCCGCCGAGCUCCGCUCCGUGGCGGCCGAAGCGGCGGUGGGGGCGGCCGGUGGCCUCCCCCGGAGCCGAUUUUUGGCCUCUGCGCGGCGCUGCCCGCGGGGACGAUACGACCCAACCCGGGUGCAACACGGUCCUUCCCGCUUCGGCUCGCUGGCGCCGGCGGCUCCAACUCAGCGCUGUCCCCGUCCGUGCCGCGGCGCCGGGGGCCGGCAACGCCGCGCCCUUAGCAUGUCCCUCACCGCAAUGGCUGCGAUUAGCAUACCCAGGGUGCCCCGCGGGCGGCGCGGUGUGACACCGGCAACGGGCACCCCCGCUCGGCGGCACCGGGGUCUGGGGCCCAGCGGGGGUGUCGUAGCCGGGACGGGCCGGUGUCGGGCCGGAGGGCGGCGGGGUUCCGAGUAAUGGUCGCCGUGUGCUGUGGGGCGGCGGCCGAGGCUGGGUAUGCGUGCGGGGGGAGGGCGCACUUAUACUCCGGUUUCUCUUCAGAUCGUAUAAAUCUUUCGCCUUUUACUAAAGAUUUCCGUGGAGAGAAACAAACACGAGUGUUGUCGAAAUUUUUUAAGGCUCCAUUUCGGUGGAGCUGUUCUUUAUUUGGUCAAAAGCAGAGCUAGAGUAAACAACUGAGCCUUGCAUACCUGCUUGCGGCAGUAGCAAGGGGCAGCCGUCGCGCUUGGGGCUGGCGGCGGAAGGGAUCCGCUGCGGGAUCGGGGCUGGCGGCGGAAGGGAUCCGCUGAGGGGUCGGGGCUGGCGGCGGAAGGGAUCCGCUGCAGGACCGAGGCGGGCAGCAGCAGAGCCCGCCCAUCUCGGGCCCCUCUGCGCCGCCUCCGUCGACCGCGCCGCCGCCUCAUUAGCAUGUGCCUCAUUACCCGGCGGCUGUUUUGCAUACCCAGGGUGCACCGCGGCCGCACCGCGACGCUGCCGGUGCCCGCCGCCGCUGCUCCCGCCGCCGGUCCGGGUCUGCCUGACCCAACCAGACUUUGUCUGAGGGAGCCUGUGCUGGCGUACGUUAAGCAGGCAGCUGCUGCAAAAGUCAUUGGGGGAUGAUGGCCUGUCUCAUUGCAGCGUACUAGCCAAGGAGUUAGCAGGAGUGGCUGAAGACCUGAUCCAUCUGAAAGUGGUACAUGGCCUGAUGGUUGCUUUGGGGAACGUGGAUCACGUGGCCAGCCAGAGACAUGCCAGCAUCUCCCUGGAGGACAGUCCUGAGACCUGGUACACAAAAAUGGAUCCAGUCCAGGCUGAAGAACUAGUCUCCAAUACAGUAGACAUCCCCAGAGACAUGGCAAGGAUGCAGUCCACAGCAGGUGAGCAGGAAUGACUGUCCACCAGAAGGGGGAAAAAAAAAAAGCAACUUCAAUCCAGAACCACACCUGUGAAUAUGUCAAGAUUCACAGUGCUCCUGAAUGCUUAUAACAAGAAUUACCAUACGUCCUUUCAGAGUGGAAUGCUUUCCAGGAAGGAACUAAGCAGCCUUUUGUGAACUAAAUGAAGGAAAGCUACCAAGCCUGAAACAUGCAAGUGUCUUUUUACUUGUCACCUCACUGGAGAGGUGCAGGGGCAUGUAAAGGAGAGACCAGGAGGCACUCACUACUCUGUUACAGGUGUUCCAGGUAUCAGCAAGACCCCCCAGGGAAACUUGGGGCUCAGUCCCUGCAGAUAUAAGCCUUGCCUUGCAGGUACCCAAAGUCAGCCAUGUGGCCCUCAAAACACACUCCCACCAUCUGCUUAGAGGCAUUUGAGUUCUCUAGGUCCUUUAGAUUUACCCAAAUUAUCCAAGGUGCCAUACCCUAUUAGUUCAUAUCAAAGUCCCUCAAGAACACCAAGUGUUUUGUGCCAUCUCUAGGGCCACAUCAGGGACACAUUCUUAGCCUACCCUUACAGGUGCAACCCAAAGUACUAAAAAAAAAGUAAAGAGCAUGGAGGUAACCACUGAGGACAGUGUAAGCUUCCUACAAAAACCAGGGCAGUCUGAAGUCUGGCAUGAGAGACUGCUCUGAGGAAAGGAGACAGUCAUGGUUUUAUACAAUCUCUAUUAUGUCUCACACAUAGAACACCCAGGUUAGUUUCAUAAGACAGCUCUGAGAUAACUUGCUUUUAACAACCAACCUCCAAAUUACCAUUACAAGCAAUAGAAGAGAACUAGAUUUCAAAGGUCAGAAUAAAAGCAGCCAAAACGCCUUCUGCAACAACAGUAGAAUCCCCAAGUUAGAAAGGC